rnacentral:rRNA from 1 species
AGAGUUUGAUCCUGGCUCAGAACGAACGCUGGCGGCAGGCUUAACACAUGCAAGUUGAACGGGAUUUGUGUGGUGCUUGCACCAUAUAAUGAGAGUAGCGCACUGGUGAGUAACACGUGGGAACGUGCCUUUUAGUGGGGGAUAACAUCUGGAAACGGAUGCUAAUACCGCAUACGCCCUGAGGGGGAAAGAUUUAUUGCUAAGAGGUCGGCCCGCGGUAGAUUAGGCAGUUGGUGGGGUAAAGGCCUACCAAACCUACGAUCUAUAGCUGGUCUGAGAGGACGAUCAGCCACAUUGGAACUGAGACACGGUCCAGACUCCUACGGGAGGCAGCAGUGAGGAAUAUUGGGCAAUGGAGGCAACUCUGACCCAGCCAUGCCGCGUGAGUGAGAAGGUUUUCGAAUUGUAAAGCUCUUUCGGGUGUGAAGAUGAUGACGGUAACACCAGAAGAAGCCCCGGCAAACUUCGUGCCAGCAGCCGCGGUAAUACGAAGGGGGCGAGCGUUGUUCGGAAUUACUGGGCGUAAAGGGUGUGUAGGCGGUUAAGUAAGAUAGUGGUGAAAUGCCGGGGCUCAACCUCGGAAUUGCCAUUAUGACUAUUUAGCUAGAAUGAUGCAGAGGAUAGCGGAAUACCCAGUGUAGAGGUGAAAUUCGUAGAUAUUGGGUAGAACACCAGAGGCGAAGGCGGCUAUCUGGGCAUUGAUUGACGCUGAGGCACGAAAGCAUGGGGAUCAAACAGGAUUAGAUACCCUGGUAGUCCAUGCUGUAAACGAUGAAUGCUAGUUGUUGGAGGAAUUCAGUGACGCAGUUAACACAAUAAGCAUUCCGCCUGGGGAGUACGGUCGCAAGAUUAAAACUCAAAGGAAUUGACGGGGACCCGCACAAGCGGUGGAUGAUGUGGAUUAAUUCGAUGCAACGCGAAAAACCUUACCUAGCCUUGACAUGCCAGGAAGGCCUGAGAGAUCAGGCCGUGCCCGCAAGGGAAUCUGGACACAGGUGCUGCAUGGCUGUCGUCAGCUCGUGUCGUGAGAUGUUGGGUUAAGUCCCGCAACG